rnacentral:rRNA from 1 species
AUUGAACGCUGGCGGCAUGCCUACACAUGCAAGUCGAACGGUAACAGGUCUUCGGAUGCUGACGAGUGGCGAACGGGUGAGUAAUACAUCGGAACGUGCCUAGUAGUGGGGGAUAACGACUCAAAAAAGUGGCUAAUACCGCAUGAGAUCUACGGAUGAAAGCAGGGGAUCGCAGGACCUUGUGCUACUAGAGAUGCCGAUGGCAGAUUAGGUAGUUGGUGGGAUAAAAGCUUACCAAGCCGACGAUCUGUAGCUGGUCUGAGAGGACGAUCAGCCACACUGGGACUGAGACACGGCCCAGACUCCUACGGGAGGCAGCAGUGGGGAAUUUUGGACAAUGGGCGCAAGCCUGAUCCAGCAAUGCCGCGUGCAGGAUGAAGGCCUUCGGGUUGUAAACUGCUUUUGUACGGAACGAAAAGCCCUGGGUUAAUACCCUGGGGUCAUGACGGUACCGUAAGAAUAAGCACCGGCUAACUACGUGCCAGCCGCCGCCGUAA